rnacentral:rRNA from 1 species
UUUAAAUCUACCUGGUUUCCAGGUCGAGUUGUAAUUUGAAGAAGUGUUUUUUACUUUCCGGGUUGGGUUAAAUCCUUUGGGAUAAGGUAUCAUGGAGGGUGAGAAUCCCGUGUAUACCAACCGCAGGAUYGUUUAAUAUACACUUUCUAAGAGUCGAGUUGUUUGGGAAUGCAGCUCUAAAUGGGUGGUAAAUUUCACCUAAUGCUAAAUAUAAGCGAGAGACCGAUAGCGAACAAGUACCGUGAGGGAAAGAUGAAAAGAACUUUGAAAAGAGAGUUAAAUAGUACGUGAAAUUGUUGAAAGGGAAACGGUUGAAGUCAGUCAUGCCGGCGGGAAUCAACUUAGGGGAAACUCUGAGUGCACUUCUUCGCUUGGCAGGUUAGCGUCGAUUUUGGAUGUCAUAAAAUGACUGGGGGAAGGUAGCUCUUUCGGGAGUGUUAAGCCCUURGUAGAUGUGAUGUCCGGGAUCGAGGAUUGCAACGGAUACCUUUUGGGCUARCCGCCUAGUCUCUAAUACGAAGUUGGGUUAUGGACAGCACGCUGACUGUGAUCUGAUUUUCGGUUAAAAGAUUAG